GGUUAACUUAGCUUAUUGGUACAGCUAAACUAUUUGCUACAUAGUUCUCUAGGGAUCAGUGUUCGAUUCACUGGUUAACCG